rnacentral:lncRNA from 1 species
CCAUGUUAACGGCGGCCAUUUUGAAAAUUCCAAACUCAAAAGUCAAGUCUACAUUAGCUGAGCAACAUUUGUUAUAAGUUUCAAUAAAUUUGAAGCAUUUUGAAGUUUUUUGUAUUUUUGCUGUUUCCAUGGUAACGGCGGCCAUUUUGAAUAUUCCAAAGUCAAACCCCCGCUGCAAUUUUUUCCCUCCACAAUCAUAUACCAUUUAAUGUCUCU